GAUGAACGCUGGCGGCGUGCUUAACACAUGCAAGUCGAACGGAAAGGCCAGUGCUUGCACUGGUACUCGAGUGGCGAACGGGUGAGUAACACGUGGGUGAUCUGCCCUGCACUUCGGGAUAAGCCUGGGAAACUGGGUCUAAUACCGGAUAGGACAAUGGUUUGGAUGCCGUUGUGGAAAGUUUUUUCGGUGUGGGAUGAGCUCGCGGCCUAUCAGCUUGUUGGUGGGGUAAUGGCCUACCAAGGCGUCGACGGGUAGCCGGCCUGAGAGGGUGUACGGCCACAUUGGGACUGAGAGACGGACCAGACUCCGACGGGAGGCAGCAGUGGGGAAUAUUGCACAAUGGGCGCAAGCCUGAUGCAGCGACGCCGCGUGGGGGAUGACGGCCUUCGGGUUGUAAACUCCUUUCGCUAGGGACGAAGCGUAUUUGUGACGGUACCUGGAGAAGAAGCACCGGCUAACUACGUG
rnacentral:rRNA from 1 species